rnacentral:rRNA from 1 species
CCGCGGUAAUACGGAGGGAGCUAGCGUUGUUCGGAAUUACUGGGCGUAAAGCGCGCGUAGGCGGCUUUGUAAGUUAGAGGUGAAAGCCCGGGGCUCAACCCCGGAAUUGCCUUUAAGACUGCAUCGCUAGAAUCCGGGAGAGGAUGGUGGAACUCCCAGUGUAGAGGUGAAAUUCGUAGAUAUUGGGAAGAACACCCGUGGCGAAGGCGGCCAUCUGGACCGGUACUGACGCUAAGGCGCGACAGCGUGGGGAGCAAACAG